UAAAAAGGUACUCAAGGGCACACAAUGGAUGCCUAGACGUAUAUUACCGAUGAAGGACGUGGAAGACUGCGAAAAGUCUCGGAGAGCUGUCAACAAGCUUUGAUCCGGGAAUAUCCGAAUGGGGAAACCCAAUACGAUUCAUCUCGUAUUACCUGUUCCUGAAUAUAUAGGGAAUUUGGAGGGAACCGACCGAACUGAAACAUCUUAGUAGGUCGAGGAAGAGAAAAUAAAUAAUGAUUCCGGGAGUAGUGGCGAGCGAAACUGGAAGAGCCCAAACCUUACAAGUUUUCAUCUGUUCGCAGAUGAAUAAGUUUAUAGGCGAAUACUUAUAAGGGGUUGUGAUAUAACACGAGACCAAGUCAGAGAACUGAAAUUUAUUUCAGGUAUCUGAUUUGCGAUAACAGGCUAUUAACUGUUAGUAAGGUAAGAAAUUUGCGUGGUUAGCAGAAUAGUUUGAAUGACUAUCCAAAGAACGUGAAAGACGUGUACGCGAAAACGACGCUGACCUUAUACGUGUUUUAUCGAGUAGGGCGGGGCACGAGAAACCCUGUCUGAAUCCGGCUGGACCACCAGCCAAGGCUAAAUAUAAUAUACGAUCGAUAGUGAACUAGUACAGCGAUGGAAAGGUGAAAAGAACCCCUGGAGGGGAGUGAAAUAGAUCCUGAAAUUGUGUGCCUACAAGGAGUCGGAGCUGGAAUUUAUUCUGGUGACGGCGUGCUUUUUGUAGAACGAUCCAGCGAGUUAAUUUCCAGUGCAAGGUUAAGUCAAGUGACGGAGCCACAGUGAAAGCGAGCCUGAAUAGGGCGAAUAAGUACUGGGAAUUAGACCCGAAACCGGGUGACCUAACCAUGGGCAGGCUGAAGCUACUGUAACAGGUAGUGAAGGGCCGAACCGUCGUACGCAGCAAAGUGCUCGGAUGACCUGUGGUUAGAGGUGAAAUGCCAAUCGAACUCGGAGAUAGCUGGUUCUCCUCGAAAUAGCUUUAGGGCUAGCGUCAAUUAAUUAGCCAACGGGGGUAGAGCUCUGUAAAGGACUGGGGGGAGCAAUCCUACCCACCCUUAACAAACUACGAAUACCGUUGGUGGUACAUUGGCAGUUAGAACGUCGGGGCUAAGCUCGGCGCUCGAAAGGGAAACAGCCCAGACCAUCGUCUAAGGUCCCUAAAUGUAUACUCAGUGGGAAACAAGGUGAGAUUUCUUAAACAGCUAGGAUGUUGGCUUAGAAGCAGCCAUUCAUUUAAAGAGUGCGUAACAGCUCACUAGUCAAGAGAUCUUGCGUGGAAAAUGUAACGGGGCUAAAGUAUACUACCGAAGACAUGGAUGUACGAUUUAUCGUACGUGGUAGAGGAGCGUUCCUAUCUGCAGUGAAGCUCAACUGGAAAGUUGGGUGGAGCGUUAGGAAGUGAGAAUGCUGGAAUGAGUAACCAUAAGACAUGUGAGAAUCAUGUCGGCCGUAAGAGCAAGGUUUCCUGAGCCAUGGUAAUCAUCUCAGGGUUAGUCGGGCCUAAGCCGAGGCGCAUAGCGUAGGCGAUGGACAUCAGGUUAAUAUUCCUGAACCGGUUAUAAAUUGUACACUGUUCACGGUGAAGUAGUCGAAGCGGAUUCAUGGUAUGUAUCCGUCCAACCUAGCGGGAACGCAAAGGGAGUGAAAGUUAGUCUUCGGAUUGACGAUUUUGAUCAAAGCACUGGCUAGAAAAGCAGAUGUACGCGUGUUUAUAGCCGCCCGUACCGCAAACCAACACAGGUGCUCGAGUCGAGUAGACUCAGGCUUACGAGAGAACCUUCGCUAAGGAACUCGGCAAUACAGCGACCGUAACUUCGGGAUAAGGUCUGCCCCCACAUCUAACGAUGUGAGCCGUGUUCAACUAACUUGGUGAAAGGUGGUUAAAAAACGCGAUAGUAGCAUCUAAAAGCAGCUACUGUCGUUAGUGAGUACGCUCGUUUCAGACCCAUAAUACGGUUUGAAACAAUAUGAGCGACAAAUCCUUUUUUAUGAACCACAAUUUUUUACUGAGAUAGACAAAUCAUGAUUGAUUUAUGUCAUUAUAGCGAAAGUUAUAAUGAUUCUUGAGCACGACCUCUCGCAUCUUUGGAUGUGGGGGCCGCAGCAAAAGAGCCCACGGAACUGUUUACCAAAAACACAGGUCUCUGCUAAUUCGAAAGAAGAUGUAUAGGGGCUGACUCCUGCCCGGUGCCGGAAGGUUAAGGGGAGCGCUUUACGGUGCGAACUGAAGCCCCGGUGAACGGCGGCGGUAACUAUAACCGUCCUAAGGUAGCGAAAUUCCUUGUCAGGUAAGUUCUGACCCGCACGAAUGGAGUAAUCAUGUGGGCACUGUCUCAGCGAAGGACUCGGUGAAAGUGCAUUGGCGGUAAAGAUGCCGUCUGUCCGUACCAGGACGAGAAGACCCCAUGGAGCUUUACUACAGCUUUACAUUGAUCCGGGUUACAACAUGUGUAGCAUAGGUGGGAGCCUUUGAAGCAGAUACGCUAGUAUUUGUGGAGGCACAGGUGAAAUACCACCCUUGUUGUGAUCUUGAUCUCACCGUUACCAUUAUCUGGUAACGGGACCGUGUAUGGUGGGUAGUUUAACUGGGGCUGUUGCCUCCUAAAGAGUAGCGGAGGCGUUCAAAGGUUGGCUAACUUCGGAUGGAAAUCGAAGUGAUAGUGUAUGCGCAUAAGCCAGCUUGACUGUGAGAAGUACAUUUCAAGCAGAGACGAAAGUCGGAGCAAGUGAACCGCUUUACGUACUUUAUGUACAUGAAUGUGGGAUCGAAAGCGAAAACGGAUAAAAGUUACCCUGGGGAUAACAGGCUUAUAGCGCCCAAUAGUUCACAUAGACGGCGCUGUUUGGCACCUCGAUGUCGGCUCAUCACAUCCUGGAGGGGGAGCACCUUCCAAGGGUUCGGCUGUUCGCCGAUUAAAGUGGUACGCGAGCUGGGUUCAGAACGUCGUGAGACAGUUCGGUUUAUAUCCGGUACGGACGUUAGGAAAUUUGAGAAGAUCUACCCCUAGUACGAGAGGACCGGGGCGGACGAACCUCUGGUGUAUCGAUUGUGGCCACCUGCCGCAUUGUCGAGUAGCUAUGUUCGGAAUAGAUAAGCGCUGAAAGCAUAUUAAGCGCGAAACUAACUUCAAGAUUAGAUUUCCCUAUGAGGACACAGAAAGACUAUCUGUUUGAUAGGCGCAAGGUAGAAGUGCAGCAAUGUAUGGAGCUGAAGCGUACUAAUAGUCCCAUCGCCUUUUUAUG
rnacentral:rRNA from 1 species